GAUGAACGCUAGCGGCAGGCUUAACACAUGCAAGUCGAGGGGUAUUUAUCUUCGGAUAGAGAGACCGGCGCACGGGUGCGUAACGCGUAUGCAAUCUACCUUUUACAGAGGGAUAGCCCAGAGAAAUCUGGAUUAAUACCUCAUAGUAUAUAGACUCGGCAUCGAGAUUAUAUUAAAGUCACAACGGUAAAAGAUGAGCAUGCGUCACAUUAGCUGGUUGGUAAGGUAACGGCUUACCAAGGCGACGAUGGGGAGGGGUCCUGAGAGGGAGAUCCCCCACACUAGGAACGGGACACCGACCAGACCCGUACGCGGGGCAGGAGUAAGGACAAUUGGACAAUGGGCGCAAGCCUCAUCAAGCCAUGCCGCGUGCAGGAUGACUGUCCUAGGGAUUGUAACCUGCUUUUAAACGAGAAGUAACGCUGCUACGUGUGGCAGCUUGACGGUAUCGCAAGAAUAAGGAUCGGCUAACUCCGUG
rnacentral:rRNA from 1 species